GGUGAACGCUGGCGGCGUGCCUAAUACAUGCAAGUCGAGCGAACGGACGAGAAGCUUGCUUCUCUGAUGUUAGCGGCGGACGGGUGAGUAACACGUGGAUAACCUACCUAUAAGACUGGGAUAACUUCGGGAAACCGGAGCUAAUACCGGAUAAUAUUUUGAACCGCAUGGUUCGAAAGUGAAAGACGGUCUUGCUGUCACUUAUAGAUGGAUCCGCGCUGCAUUAGCUAGUUGGUAAGGUAACGGCUUACCAAGGCAACGAUGCAUAGCCGACCUGAGAGGGUGAUCGGCCACACUGGAACUGAGACACGGUCCAGACUCCUACGGGAGGCAGCAGUAGGGAAUCUUCCGCAAUGGGCGAAAGCCUGACGGAGCAACGCCGCGUGAGUGAUGAAGGUCUUCGGAUCGUAAAACUCUGUUAUUAGGGAAGAACAUAUGUGUAAGUAACUGUGCACAUCUUGACGGUACCUAAUCAGAAAGCCACGGCUAACUACGUG
rnacentral:rRNA from 1 species